rnacentral:ncRNA from 1 species
UUGCGCCUGUGGCGGGUCCGGCACGAUUCUUAAUAGGCUUCGCAGGCAGCCGGGUCGUGUACGAUCUUGUACAUCCAAGAAUUGUCUUGGAUUUAAUGAUUUCU